rnacentral:rRNA from 1 species
CCUACGGGAGGCAGCAGUGGGGGAUAUUGCACAAUGGGGGGAACCCUGAUGCAGCGACGCCGCGUGGGUGAAGGAGCGUUUCGGCGCGUAAAGCCCUAUCGGCAGGGAAGAAGGAGGACGGUACCUGACGAAGAAGCCCCGGCUAACUACGUGCCAGCAGCCGCGGUAAUACGGAGGGGGCAAGCGUUAUCCGGAUUUACUGGGUGUAAAGGGGGCGCAGACGGCAGCGCAAGCCAGGAGUGAAAGCCCGGGGCCCAACCCCGGGACUGCUCUUGGAACUGCGCGGCUGGAGUGCAGGAGGGGCAGGCGGAAUGCCUGGUGUAGCGGGGAAAUGCGUAGAUAUCAGGAGGAACACCGGUGGCGAAGGCGGCCUGCUGGACUGCGACUGACGUUGAGGCCCGAAAGCGUGGGGAGCAAACAGGAUUAGAUACUCCAGUAGUC